rnacentral:rRNA from 1 species
CCUACGGGUGGCAGCAGUGGGGAAUAUUGCACAAUGGGGGCAACCCUGAUGCAGCGCCGCCGCGUGAGGGAAGAAGUCUUUCGGUAUGUAAAGCUCUCUCAGCUGGGAAGAAGAUGACGGUACCUGACUAAGAAGCCCCGACUAACUACGUGCCCGCAGCCACGGUCAUACGUAGGGGGCAAGCGUUAUCCGGAUUUACUGGGUGUAAAGGGCGCGUAGACGGGGAGGCAAGUCUGAAGUGAAAGGCAGGGGCUUAACCCCUGAACUGCUUUGGAAACUGCCAUGCUAGAGUGCUGGAGAGGCAAGUGGAAUUCCGAGUGUAGCGGUGAAAUGCGUAGAUAUUCGGAGGAACACCAGUGGCGAAGGCGGCUUACUGGACAGUAACUGACGGUGAGGCUCGAAAGCGUGGGGAGCAAACAGGAUUAGAUACCCGUGUAGUC